CACGGGGGGGAGCAAGCGUUGUUCGGAUUCAUUGGGCGUAAAGAGCUCGUAGGCCGCUCUGUAAGUCGGGAGUGAAAGACCACGGGCUCAACCGUGGAAACGCUUUCGAAACUGUGGAGCUUGAGGCCGGGGAGAGGAGAUUGGAAUUCCUGGUGUAGCGGUGAAAUGCGUAGAUAUCGCUUGGAACGCCGAAGGUGAAAACAGGUCGCUGGGAGUGCGCCGACGCUGAGACACGAAAGCCAGGGGAGCAAACGGGG
rnacentral:rRNA from 1 species